ACCCGACCUCGAAACGCCUCGGGC
rnacentral:siRNA from 1 species